CCUACGGGUGGCAGCAGUGGGGAAUAUUGGACAAUGGGCGAAAGCCUGAUCCAGCCAUGCCGCGUGUGUGAAGAAGGCCUUCGGGUUGUAAAGCACUUUCAGUGGGGAAGAAAGCCUUGGGGCUAAUACCCUCGAGGAAGGACAUCACCCACAGAAGAAGCACCGGCUAACUCCGUGCCAGCAGCCGCGGUAAUACGGAGGGUGCGAGCGUUAAUCGGAAUUACUGGGCGUAAAGCGCGCGUAGGCGGUCUGAUAAGCCGGUUGUGAAAGCCCCGGGCUCAACCUGGGAACGGCAUCCGGAACUGUCAGGCUAGAGUGCAGGAGAGGAAGGUAGAAUUCCCGGUGUAGCGGUGAAAUGCGUAGAGAUCGGGAGGAAUACCAGUGGCGAAGGCGGCCUUCUGGACUGACACUGACGCUGAGGUGCGAAAGCGUGGGUAGCAAACAGGAUUAGAUGCCCCGAGUAGUC
rnacentral:rRNA from 1 species